UAUUAGAUUGGUCCAAAAGUUAUUGCGGUUUUUGCCAUUGAAAGUAAUGACAAAAACUGCAAUAACUUUUGCACCAAUCUAAUA
rnacentral:pre_miRNA from 1 species